rnacentral:rRNA from 1 species
GAUGAACGCUGGCGGCGUGCUUAACACAUGCAAGUCGAACGGAAAGGCCCAAGCUUGCUUGGGUACUCGAGUGGCGAACGGGUGAGUAACACGUGGGUGAUCUGCCCUGCACUUCGGGAUAAGCCUGGGAAGCUGGGUCUAAUACCGGAUAGGACGAUGGUUUGGAUGCCAUUGUGGAAAGUUUUUUCGGUGUGGGAUGAGCGCGCGGCCUAUCAGCUUGUUGGUGGGGUAAUGGCCUACCAAGGCGUCGACGGGUAGCCGGCCUGAGAGGGUGUACGGCCACAUUGAGACGGAGAUACGGCACAGACUACUACGGGGGGCAGCAGGGGGGAAUAUUGCCCAAUGGGCGCAAGCCUGAUGCAGCGACGCCGCGUGGGGGAUGACGGCAUUCGGGUUGUAAACUCCUUUCGCUAGGGACGAAGCGUUUUUGUGACGGUACCUGGAGAAGAAGCACCGGCUAACUACGUG